GCUGACAGGAAGAUGUCGUCAUCUCUAACCGUCACUCACACCACAGAUCUCAAGCAAGUGCAAAGGCAGCGAGGGGUGGUGUGAUGUCAUUUGCAACAAGACGGCUGAUACUAAUAUGGGCCUAAAAUAAAGGACAAUAAUGGCAUCAGCCAUUCAAGUUAUGAUCCUGGCAGAUCUGCUACUAUCUGAAAAGUAGUCUCUGAAGAUUUUUUCAAGAUACACAAGAUGGAGCGUGGAGAGACAGGACAUGGACCACAGUUUUUCAGCACCCACACCCCACACUCAAAUUCAUAUGGAAGUUCUCAAUUAUUAAAUGUUAAUAUGAUAGUUUAUAUUUAGCUGUGAAGUUAUAGUUCAUUGUCAUAAAUAUUAAACUACAUAUUAUUAUUUUACAUGAACUUGCUCGUAUCUGGAAGGUUGUGUUAAUAAAAAUGAUGUUGAAAGUAGGGAUGUGCGCUACGACUAAUUUGACUGUCGUUUAAACUGAAGUUUUGUAUCCGACUAGUCUAAAAACUAGAAACCCCCCAAAAAUGGCAAAAGAUUAAAAAAACUGUGCGUGUAUAACAGCCUACACUUGAAAUACUUAAUCUUUGCAUCACACUGUCAAAUCCCUCAAUGAAAUCUGCUAAAAAUAGGUCACGAUUAUGCCGUAUGCUUGCCUCACGUUAUCAUCAUUUAAUUUUAGGCGGUCGGUCGUUAAACAGAAAAUAAGGAAGAGCAUACACUCAACAUAAACCAGUGCAUAGCUUAUUUAUUCAGAUCAGCUGGAACAAUGCAGAAAUGGAAAACAGACUGACAGAAUUCUUCAUUUUCAUAUAACGUUAGCCAACAUAUUAAAACACAAGUCAAAAACAAUAGGAAAGUUUAUCAAGGAAUAGCAUUAAAACGGCUUUUAAAAUGUAACAAAACAAUGCUUGUUUUACUUACUCACUCAGACCAUGCGCAGAGAGGUGAACUAUUAGAAUAGAGUACUCAUAAUGUAUAUAAGAUGAUAAUCAUGACAAAUUUUUCUUAAGGAUGCUUUAAGUUACUUAUCGUUUGUACACAGGUUUUUCCUCACAAUGAAGUACCAGUUUCUAAAGGGAAAGAUGAAUAGCAGGAUUGAUCAGCUUCUUCGCUUGCUGUGUGGUGAUGUACAGAAAUAUUACAGUUACCCGGAUGACCUGAAAGAAACUGGACGAAUCAAAGGACUGAACAGUGAUGAGACCAUUUAUGCUGCUCAGUCUAUGAUUGCAAAAGGCCUGGAUGCAAAAAUAGACAUGUCUAAAAAUGGUGUUUGGUUCCACCAGAUACAAGCACACAACCUCACACAGUUGACUUGGUGAUGCACAAAUGCAAUUGCAAAAGAUUCCAAUGCGGAUCUAUGUGCAAACACUUAAUUUUCUCACAGACAAUUGCAGAGAAACAAGGACUUGUGAUUCAAGACCUUAGGACAGAUGCAGCAAGAAAGAUUGUUGAUAGUCAAUCCUAUUUCACAGAUAAUGAAAACCUUAUCGUCUGGCACUUUGAUGGGAGCGUAGGAGUUGUAAGUCAUAAAGGGACAAGAUUUUGUACAUGCAAAUAGUUAUGGAGAGGUAUGUGUAUGUAUACUAGUUCACAACAUUCUCUACACAGCAUCUUGUGAGAGAAAUUCUUUACCUUUACACAGCCUAAUGUCCAGUGAGAAAAAAAGCGCUACACUGCAGGACAUGCUCACAGAUCUUCAUGAGUGGAGCCAAUCAGAAAAAUAUCAAGAGAAUAAGGAAGUGUACAAUUUAGUACAGACAGCACACAAAUUAGUUUUUUCACAGUUUAUUAAAGUGUCAAGGAAAAGGAAAACGACUGCACUUCCUGAGUAUCGUAAAAGGGUCAAAAAAGCAAAAGAUGCAGUCACUGUAAAUUACAGUCAAAAAGAAGAAAAAACAAGGUUGAUCUUGAAGUGACUUAAGAAACGUUUCAUUGUUGAAACAAUUACUUUGCCUAGCCAAAAAAAAAAAUGUUCUCACCUUGCAUCUACUUUUUUGUCAAUGAAUGUUGUACUUAUGCUUUGUAUAGAGUAAAAUGAAGGAACAAAUGUUGAUCAUAAACAAAUUACUAAAUAUUUUUAUUGAACACUUCAACAUUACAAUAAAAUAUGACUACUUUCCUAAAAAAAAUCUAGUGGAUUAUAUGCAUCUAAAACAUCAACAUAUAACAAAAUGGUACAGCAAAGAUGCAACAUUAAACUCCUGUACUUUAACUAGUACACAUCAUUCUUA